CAUGUGUGCCAGGAAAAGACGUUUUCUGUGCUGAAUCUUUGUAUCCCUUUUUUUGCAACCGUCCAGUGAUGAGUGCCAGCUUCGAAGAGGCUCGGUCCAUCCCGGAACCACGCACACCCAGAGUGCGGUUUAUCCCCGCACAUUUGCUGUGGAGGUGAAGCUGAUGACCUGCCAAAGGCAUCACCCGGUGAACGUAUAGAGGGGUAACUUAGCAACGUAUAGAGGGGUAACUUAGCACUGUGAGUGCCAGAAACGCCAGGCAGAGAUUUGUCCCUCGGUGUGGCAUGAGCCCACCCCCCCAGCAGCAGACACCCUGCCCCUCAGCGGGACCCUGGCGCUCUGCAGUGUUGAGGGGCAAGCUGUGCUUGAUGAAACCUCUGCCCUCACCUGGAAUGUUCCAGAAAACAGGUGUGUCUGUGUUUCACAGACAGCUUGGACCAGAAGUGGAGAGCAAGGCCCGGUGGCUAUCCUUGCCUGUCUUCCACUCAGCUGGAGAUGUAAAGCUCCAAUUUUAUUUAAUUUUCCCAGACUUCCAGUGAACACGAGGUUUGCGGGGGUGAGAGAUGAGUUGGAUUCAGACCUUAACGCUGGAGAUCUCGCCCACCGGAGAGAGGCAGGACGCUCAGCGCAGGGGGGGUUCCACCCCCACCAACGAGCUCAGACCUUCACGGAAGUGCCAGGCGAGCUGGCAUCUUUUACAGGACAGCUGUUCAAGGCCAGGAGUGAGUCCCUACUGGGAAGCGAGAAAGGCUGAAAAUACAUCGUCACGGGACUGUCUCAACAAGGGCUCCCAAAGAGGACUUGCUGGGGGGGUAUCAAGGGCACAGCCCCAAACCCCGAAGCGGAAAUGGGGGCAGAAGUCGGGUAGCAGGUUAUCGUGUUUCCUACCCGCCCCCAUCCCCCCACGGCUUCUGGCAACAUCCAGCAGGUGGCGCAGCAUUGCGCUCAGAGAUUGGGCUCCGAGUUCAGGUCGCGGAGGGCCGUAUGUCCGCGGCGCUGCUUUCUGGCUGUCUCCUUCCCUCCCUCGACCUCCAUCUUCCCGUGUGUGAAAUGGGAUAAUAAUAUUACCCAACCCAGGAGCCGGUCGUCGUGUUCCGGGAGGCAGAUGAGUUACUCCGUGUAAAAGGCUCCGACCAGGGGCGCCUGGGUGGCUCAGUCGUUAAGCGUCUGCCUUCGACUCAGGGCGUGAUCUCU
rnacentral:lncRNA from 1 species